AUACGGAGGGUGCUAGCGUUGUUCGGAAUUACUGGGCGUAAAGCGCGCGUAGGCGGAUUGGUCAGUUAGGGGUGAAAUCCCAGGGCUUAACCCUGGAACUGCCUCUAAUACUGCCAGUCUUGAGUUCGCGAGAGGUGAGUGGAAUUCCUAGUGUAGAGGUGAAAUUCGUAGAUAUUAGGAAGAACACCAGUGGCGAAGGCGGCUCACUGGCCCGAUACUGACGCUGAGGCGCGAAAGCGUGGGGAGCAAACAGAAUUAGAAACCCUAGUAGUCC
rnacentral:rRNA from 1 species